AUUGAACGCUGGCGGCAGGCCUAACACAUGCAAGUCGAACGAGUGGCGGACGGGUGAGUAAUGUAUGGGAAACUGCCUGAUGGAGGGGGAUAACUAAUGGAAAAGGUAGCUAAUACCGCAUAAUGUCAGAUGUGCCCAGAUGGGAUUAGCGUGUUGGUGGGGUAACGGAUAACCAAGGCGAAGAUCCCGCGCGGGUCUGAGAGGAUGACCAUCCACACUGGACCUGAGGCACGGUCGAGACUCCUACGGGAGGCAGCAGUGGGGAAUAUUGCACAAUGGGCGCAAGCCUGAUGCAGCCAUGCCGCGUGUAUGAAGAAGGCCUUCGGGUUGUAAAGUACUUUCAGCGGGGAGGCGUUACCCGCAGAAGAAGCACCGGCUAACUCCGUGCCAGCAGCGGCGGUAAUUC
rnacentral:rRNA from 1 species